CCCUUAGAUGUUCUGGGCCGCACGCGCGCUACACUGAUGCAUUCAACGAGUCUAAAAACUGCUCUGAUAGGGGUGGGUAAUCUUUUGAAUGUGCAUCGUGAUUGGGAUAGAUGAUUGAAAUUUUUCAUCUUCAACGAGGAAUGCCUAGUAAACGCAAGUCAUCAGCUUGCAUUGAUUACGUCCCUGCCCUUUGUACACACCGCCCGUCGCUCCUACCGAUUGAAUGAUCCGAUGAAUAUCAUGGAUUGAGGAUGCAAGUAGGUUCACCUAUCUUCAUCUUCGAGAAGUGAAGUAAAUCUUAUCAUUUAGAGGAAGGAGAAGUCGUAACA
rnacentral:rRNA from 1 species